rnacentral:rRNA from 1 species
AUACGGAGGAUGCAAGCGUUAUCCGGAUUUAUUGGGUUUAAAGGGUGCGUAGGCGGUUUGCUAAGCGGGAGGUGAAAUGUCGGCGCUCAACGUCGGAAGUGCCUCCCGAACUGGUGGACUGGAAUGACUCUGCCGUGGGAGGAAUGUGUAGUGUAGCGGUGAAAUGCUUAGAGAUCACACAGAACACCGAUUGCGAAGGCAUCUCACGAAGGGUUGAUUGACGCUGAGGCACGAAAGCGUGGGGAUCAAACAGGAUUAGAUACCCUGGUAGUCCACGCAGUAAACGAUGAUGGCUAACCGCUGGUUUAUUCGGAUCAGUGGCCAAGCGAAAGCGAUAAGCCAUCCACCUGGGGAGCACGACCGCAAGGUUGAAACUCAAAUGAAUUGACGGGG